GAAGACAUCAACGACUUCGGAGUCGACUCCGACUCUAGAGCUAUUCAGAGUCGAGGAAUCGACUCUUUUGGAGUCGACUCCCCAUCCCUACUUUCCAUAACAACAAAAACAACAAGAAAAAAGAAGAUAGCCGACGUUUCGCCAGGCUCACAGCUCAGACCGGGUCAUUGCACGUCCUGUUAGAGCACUCGGUGUUCCCUGCUCUCCAUCCAGCUGUGCAGUAAUUCACUUCUGAGCUGGUGGGAUAGGACAGAAGCUCUGCUCAAUAGCAGCAGGAUUUUUUGGGAUUGUACGAGGAUCUCGGCAAGGAGUGGAAUCCACGGUUCUUCGAGACAGCUCAGAGGACAAAAUAUGAAUGUUUUAAGCGAAGAGUGGAUCUAGGCAAGGGCAAAUCAGACAACAGACUGUGUCUUCAACAGCCCACAUAUUCACCUGCUAACCAGCACGUUCAGUAUGGAUGCUUCACAAGGACACCAGAUUAGAAGACUGUGUUUGCUCCUCGCCUGGACUUUUGCUCAUGUUUACGGCUACCCCUCUUGUCUAGCCCUCUGGAUAUCGUUUGCUGAUCGAAGACCCACGAAUACGGGUCAGAGCACACACCUCACACAGGCAGAGUAGCAGACUUUGGGAACAGAUCACUGGAGCAGACAGACUGGGGUACGCCGGAGACACAAUGCUGGAGAGAAGGAGUGGAGGUACGUCCACAAGGAGGUACGUCCACAAGGAGGUACGUCCACAAGGAGGUACGUCCACAAGGAGGUACGUCCACAAGGAGGUACGUCCACAAGGAGGUACGUCCACAAGGAGGUACGUCCACAAGGAGGUACGUCGCUGUGAUAGCAUAAGGAAUCCACUUCGUAAAAACGAGAACAGACAAUGAGGUGCUGUGAGGUGUGUGCUUUUAUGCCAGAGUUGAUUGGUGUCCAAAUGAUGUGCAGGUGUGUGUGAUUAGAACUCUGGUGAGAGAGUGUUGUGACUGGCUGGUGACAGAGCCUGGUUGAUCCGUAA